ensembl:processed_transcript 9330154J02Rik RIKEN cDNA 9330154J02 gene
UGAGAGCGAAGUUUCGGGUUACGGGACUCUUCCAAGCUUUUUUUUUUUUUUUUCCUUUUUGUACCUCCUUGGAUUAGUGUGGAAAGGGGGGCAGAGCCGUACAGCUGUUGCCUAAUCUCGACUCCCCAGUUCCUGGCCAUCCAGCUCCCGGAUCCCGAGAGGGUCCAGACAUCUCCAGAAAAACGGAGGGAACCCGCCAACAAAGCGGCCGUGGGACCGUGGGCGGUGUGGCAGCAAGGACCCCCCGCUCUCCUCACGCCCUAGUAUAGAAAGGAGCCCCGGUCCCGCCUCCAAGCUCCAAACCUGGCCGCUUGGUCCCCACUGCUCACCUCCGCACCCCGCGCCUGCAAAGCCAACGCCGAGGGCCACCCGAGUCCACGCGCCUUCCCGGCUCCUGCUGCGGGCGCCGACUCUCCUCUCACCCCAGCCCCUGGCCCAACCUCCACGGCUGGGAAAAACCAAGCCGGGGGGCGGGGGAGGGCCGGGGCUGCAGGAGAGAUCGCCACCGCGCUGCCCACCUCUGCUGCCCCAGCACAGGUGGAAGCAGAAGGAGCAAAAGCUCCAGCUCCUUUUUGGCUACGUGAUGACUUUGAGAUGACCUGGAGAAAGACCCUGUCUUGAAACAACCCCAAAAAGAAGAGCAGGCUGAGCCAUUGUCAAGACAGCUCAUCAGACAGAUCACUGGAAGAAAAAGUAAGAGCCUGCCUGAGGCUGCAGAGAUGGCUUGCUGCUUAAGAGCACUGAUUGCUCUUCCAGAAGACAAGGGUUCAGUUUCCAGUACCCACAUAGAGCAGCGCACAAGUGCCUGAUACACCAGCCCAAGGGGAUCCACUUGUUCGUCUGCCCUCCUCCACCAACUGCACUCACACGUACCUAUCCCCACCCAGGCAUGAGUGCGGAGAAUUAAAAAUAAACAUGAAAAGAGAAGAUCCAGCCUUAUCUCAGAACAAAUCCCAGAGAGUAUCUACAAAAGCCACCUCUGCACAGAUUAAAUUCCAUCAGAUAGAUCAAAUAAAUAUGAUUAUGAAAGUAUUAAAGUACAUUUAAUUUGCUUUUGCUUUUUUACUGUGCUAAAAUGCAGUUGGACAAAACACAAUGUUACAGUCUAUUCUCGGGCAAAAACCAAUAAGAACAUAAGACACUUAACAAAACAGUGUAAAGAAGGAAGGUGGCAUCAAGGAUAUAUUGAGCUUAGAAAACGAUGGAGAUGCUGGCUUAAUUCCAUACCACAUGUGUAGAGUUCCCCAAAUUAAUAAGUAUAACACAACCAACUACAAAUACGUAGUUGUUCUUUCUUCUCAUUUUGUUUGGUACACCUAAAACCAAAAUGUCAUAGUUGUAAUGGCAUAUUAUUAUCUUAGUAACAUAUCUAGAUGUCAUAUGUGUAAGUAUACUCUAUAAAAACAAUGUUUCUGUGUCUUAUUAUAAUUGAGUAUUAUAUUGUGUAUAAAUUUGAAGGAGAUUCUAGGAAGAUAUAUGUGAUAUGUCACUGAGAAACCAUUAGGAAAAUAAAAUUUUAAAUGGCAAAAGGGUAGUGUGCAUGUCUGCAUGUUGGUAUGUGCAGGGAAGUGCUGGUCUCAGAGAACUGGAGUCACACAUGAUUGUGAGCCUUGAAUUGUGGAUGCUGAGAGCUGAACUCGGGUCCUCCGAAAGAACAGCCACUGAGCCAUCUCUCCAGACCCUGGUCCAUUUUCUGAGAUUGACUCUAUUCUAGCCAACAAAAAGCAAGCCUCAAUAAAUUUAAAGAGAUAAGAUUUGUGGAAAAUAUUUCCCUAAUCACAAGGAAUAGAAAUUAAUAACAAAAUUAGAAUAUUCACAAAUGUAUGGAUUAAACAAUAACUAAACACAACUGACACAUAAUUGGUGUGUCAGUGGAGACAUUUAAAAAGCGCAAAGUACUUUAGGACAAAGGAAAAAAUAAAGGCACACUAUAUAAAAAUUUGUUAUUUUAUCUAGCUAAGACAGUAAUUGAUGGGAAAUGUUUAUAUUUUUUAAAAAUAUAACAAUGGCGUAAUGUGACCUUUAAGACAUUGCAAAAGAAGAACAAAUUAAGCUAAAAGCGAAUAUUAAGAAGAAAUGAAUGUUUGGCAGAGAGCAGUGAAAUU